rnacentral:rRNA from 1 species
AUUGAACGCUGGCGGCAGGCCUAACACAUGCAAGUCGAGCGGAUGAAGGGAGCUUGCUCCUGGAUUCAGCGGCGGAUGGGUGAGUAAUGCCUAGGAAUCUGCCUGGUAGUGGGGGAUAACGUCCGGAAACGGGCGCUAAUACCGCAUAAGUCCUGAGGGAGAAAGUGGGGGAUCUUCGGACCUCACGCUAUCAGAUGAGCCUAGGUCGGAUUAGCUAGUUGGUGGGGUAAAGGCCUACCAAGGCGACGAUCCGUAACUGGUCUGAGAGGAUGAUCAGUCACACUGGAACUGAGACACGGUCCAGACUCCUACGGGAGGCAGCAGUGGGGAAUAUUGGACAAUGGGCGAAAGCCUGAUCCAGCCAUGCCGCGUGUGUGAAGAAGGUCUUCGGAUUGUAAAGCACUUUAAGUUGGGAGGAAGGGCAGUAAGUUAAUACCUUGCUGUUUUGACGUUACCAACAGAAUAAGCACCGGCUAACUUCGUG